rnacentral:rRNA from 1 species
CAGCCGCCACGGGAAUACGGAGGAUCCGAGCGUUAUCCGGAAUUAUUGGGUUUAAAGGGUGCGUAGGCGGAUAGAUAAGUCAGUGGUGAAAGACGGUGGCUCAACCAUCGCAGUGCCGUUGAUACUGUUUAUCUUGAAUAUGGAUGAGGUAGGCGGAAUGUGGCAAGUGGCGGUGAAAUGCAUAGAUAUGCCACAGAACACCGAUUGCGAAGGCAGCUUACCAAGGCAAAAUUGACGCUGAGGCACGAAAGCGUGGGGAUCGAACAGGAUUAGAUACCCCAGUAGUCCCUGUCUCUUAUAC